rnacentral:misc_RNA from 1 species
UCUCCGUAGGUGAACCUGCGGAGGGAUCAUUACUGAGUGAGGGCUCACGCCCGACCUCCAACCCUUUGUGAACACAACUUGUUGCUUCGGGGGCGACCCUGCCGUUUCGAUGGCGAGCGCCCCCGGCGGACAUCAAACACUGCAUCCCUACGUCGGAGCGAUUUAGUAAAUCUAAACAAAACUUUCAACAACGGAUCUCUUGGUUCUGGCAUCGAUGAAGAACGCAGC